rnacentral:tRNA from 2 species
GCUGGCGUAGCUCAGCCCGGUAGAGCAUCUGAUUUGUAAUCAGACGGUCGGGGGUUCAAAUCCCUUCGCCAGCUCCA